rnacentral:rRNA from 1 species
GAUGAACGCUGGCGGCGUGCCUAAUACAUGCAAGUCGAGCGAACAGACGAGGAGCUUGCCCCUCUGACGUUAGCGGCGGACGGGUGAGUAACACGUGGAUAACCUCCCUAUAAGACUGGGAUAACUUCGGGAAACCGGAGCUAAUACCGGAUAAUAUAUUGAACCGCAUGGUUCAAUAGUGAAAGACGGUUUUGCUGUCACUUAUAGAUGGAUCCGCGCCGCAUUAGCUAGUUGGUAAGGUAACGGCUUACCAAGGCAACGAUGCGUAGCCGACCUGAGAGGGUGAUCGGCCACACUGGAACUGAGACACGGUCCAGACUCCUACGGGAGGCAGCAGUAGGGAAUCUUCCGCAAUGGGCGAAAGCCUGACGGAGCAACGCCGCGUGAGUGAUGAAGGUCUUCGGAUCGUAAAACUCUGUUAUUAGGGAAGAACAAAUGUGUAAGUAACUAUGCACGUCUUGACGGUACCUAAUCAGAAAGCCACGGCUAACUACGUG